CCUACGGGGGGCAGCAGUGAGGAAUAUUGGUCAAUGGGCGCGAGCCUGAACCAGCCAAGCCGCGUGAGGGAAGACGGUCCUAUGGAUUGUAAACCUCUUUUGUCAGGGAGCAAAGGCCGCCACGUGUCGCCUUCUGAGAGUACCCGAAGAAAAAGCAUCGGCUAACUCCGUGCCAGCAGCCGCGGUAAUACGGAGGGUGCAAGCGUUGUCCGGAAUUAUUGGGCUUAAAGGGUUCGCAGGCGGGAUGUUAAGUCAGGUGUUAAAGCCCCGGGCUCAACCCGUGUACGGCCGUUGAAACUGGCAGGCUGGAGUGCGGGAGAGGUAUAGGGAAUGCGCGGUGUAGCGGUGAAAUGCAUAGAUAUCAGGAGGAACUCCGAUUGCGAAGGC
rnacentral:rRNA from 1 species